rnacentral:rRNA from 1 species
ACGCUCGACACCUACGGGAGGUAGCAGUAGGGAAUCUUCCACAAUGGGCGCAAGCCUGAUGGAGCAACACCGCGUGAGUGAAGAAGGGUUUCGGCUCGUAAAGCUCUGUUGUUGGAGAAGAACGUGCGUGAGAGUAACUGUUCACGCAGUGACGGUAUCCAACCAGAAAGUCACGGCUAACUACGUGCCAGCAGCCGUGGUAAUCUGAGCGGGCUGGCAAGGC